AAUAAACAGAAUUGUUUAUUGGCAAAAUUAUGUGUGUAAGGAAGUAAGCAACUGUUACAAUUUUAAGUUAGGAAGGGUACUUUCAGCUGUGAGUCCCAUAAAGGGGGGUGCUGGCUAAGGGGAAUGGCUUAACACUUUUGACCAAAAGGUGGGGCUGUAAUCAAAUCAUUUUGAAGUUUUCUGUGAGAGAUGACAAUGGCACACACACAGUUUGGUGUCAUUAUGCCAAAGCAUUGCAGAGAUACAGCCUCAUGUCUCAUUUUGACAUGAUGCCUCAAUUUCGUUGCAGUGGUAUGCGAAAACGGUUUUGUGUUUCGAUACAAAAUCCAUAAAAUUUUGUCAGCACUGUCUAAAGAUCAUCUGAUUCAAUUUUGGUGAAAAUCGGACUAACGGUUGAUGAGGAGUUUGAAAAAAUAGGUUUUCAACAUAAAUAAAAAUGGCGGACCGUAAAUUCAGCUUACUAUGGAAUAUUUGGUAUCGAUGUUAUCGACAUAAGCCAAGGAAUAUUUUGAGCCCAGUUUCAUUGCAAUAGGCUAAUGCAAUAAAAAGUUAUUAGCAUUUUUAUAAGUGUAAUUAUUCAUGGUUAAUGAAUGGUUUAUUACUCUUGACCAAUAGGUGACGCUGUUACCAAAUUUAUGUGGCAUGAUCAGUGUGAGGUGGCGAUGACACAUACAAAGUUUGGUGCAAAUAUGUCAAAGUGUUGCAGAGAUACAGCCUCAAAUGCAUUUUGGCACCCUUCCAGCAAAUUCGUUGAUGCGCUAAAUGAGAACCGUUACGUAUAUCGACACAAAAUCCAUAACUUUUUGCCAGCAUGGUCUGAAGAUGAUGCACGUCAAAUUUGGUGAAAAUUGGGCUAACGGUCUAGGAGGAGUUCGAAAAAGUAGGUUUUCAACAUUAAGCAAAAUGGCGGACAGGAAGUAAGGCCAAUUUUCACAUUAUUGGUAUCAAUACUCUCGGCAUGACCCACAGAAUAUAGCGAGACCAUUUUAAUUUUAAUAGACUAAUUUAUUCAAAAGUUAUUAGCAUUUAUGUGAUAUUUCAUUAUAACUAUUGGCCACAGGGUGGCGCUGCCACCAAACUUUUUGAGUACCUUCAGGGCAUGGAGCCGAAUAUUUUUGUAAUUAUUUGCGAAACGAUACGAUGCUGCGUUCAAAAAAUACAGCAUUUUAAAUCAUAAUUCAAAAUGGCCGACGCCUAAAAUGGCCGACACAGGAAAAUUGGAUAUCAUUUGACUCGACAUGACUCACUGAAUCUAAAGAGACCAGUUGUGUGAUUUUUGGCCAAACCAUUCAGUAGUUAUAAGCCAAAAUAUGCAUUUUUCAUAUCUCCUGACCACUAGGUGGCGCUGUGUCGAAACACUGCAGGUAGUCUCAGUUCAUGCUUGUUAUAACACACGCCAAGUUUGGUCUCAAUAUGACAAACCGUUGCCGGGAUAUAGCCUCACGUGCAUGUUUGCGUGCUUUUCGUCAAAUUUGUUUACGUGUCAUUCGACAACAGUUGGACGAAUCAACUUGAAUUCCAUAACUUUUUGCCAGCAUGGUCUGAAGAUGAUCUGAGCCAAUUUUCGUGGCAAUCGGACUAACCGUCUAGGACGAGUUCGAAAAAGUAGGUUUUUCGAAUAAUUGAAAAUAGCGAAAAAACUAAACCUUGCGAUUUUUGAAUUUUAGGGUUCAUUCGACUUGGCCUGAGCCAAGGAUUCAGAGGAAAAAAGAAUUUCCAUUUUCUGGCUUACGGUUCAAAAGUUAUUAGCAUACAAACAUUGAAAGUUUGGACAAGUGGUGGCGCUAGAGAGUAGGAGUUAGAGGCUUCAAUUUUGCUAUAGUUAAUGUUGGGACUGUCCUCUAUCAGUGUGCCAAAUUAUACAACUUUCCCGCAAACGGUUCUAUGGGCUGCCAUAGACUUGCGGCGGAAGAAGAAGAAGAAGAAUAAUAAUAAUAAUAACGGCAACGAAAACAAUAGGUGCCUACGCACCUUCGGUGCUUGGCCCCUAAUAACGCCAACGAAAACAAUAGGUGCCUACGCACCUUCGGUGCUUGGCCCCUAAUAAUAAUAACGCCAACGAAAACAAUAGGUGCCUACGCACCUUCGGUGCUUGGCCCCUAAUAAUAACGCCAACGAAAACAAUAGGUGCCUACGCACCUUCGGUGCUUGGCCCCUAAUAAUAACGCCAACGAAAACAAUAGGUGCCUACGCACCUUCGGUGCUUGGCCCCUAAAUAUAGCUGCAAGCAGCAAUUACGGGGCCAAGCACUCCAACGGCAAUGUAGUAGCUAAGCAUCGCAUGAAGCAUCACACCAAAUACAUUAAUGAGCAAUAACAGCAAUUUUGGAAUUAUUGUAUUUGAAAUGGCAAAAAAAAAAAAAAAACACCAAUACCACCUCUAGUAGCAUGAUUACUUGGUUUAUCAAGCUUGACCAAUAGGUGACACUGUUAUAAAAUCAAUUUGGUGUACUCUGUGUGACUUUUCAAUGACACACACAAAGUUUGGUGUCAAUAUGCCAAAGCAUUCCAGGGAUACAGCCUCAAGUGUCAUUUUCUCAUUGUGCCUCAAAUUCGUCGAUGUGGUAUGCGAAAACGGUUUUGUCUAUCGACUCAAAAUCCAUAACUUUGAAUCAGUAUAGCCUGAAGAUCAUUUGAUUCGAAUUUGGAGAAAAUCGGACAUACAGUUGAUCAGGAGUUCGAAAAAGUAUGUUUUCAACAUAAAUCAAAAUGGCGGACCGGAAGUUCAGCUUACCGUGGUAUAUUUGGUAUCUAUGUUAUCGGCAUAAGCCAGGGAAUAUUUUGAGCCCAGUUUCCUUCAAAUAGGCUAAUGCAUUAAAAAGUUAUUAGCAUUUUAAAAAGUGUAAUUACUCAUGGUUAAUGAAUGGUUUAUUACUCUUGACCAAUAGGUGGCGCUGUUACCAAAUUUAUGUGGCAUUGUCAGUCUGAGGUGGCGAUGACACAUACAAAGUUUGGUGCAAAUAUGUCAAAGCGUUGCAGAGAUACAGCCUCAAAUGCAUUUUGGCACCUUUCCAGCAAAUUCGUUGAUGCGUUAAAUGACAACCGUUUCGUAUAUCGACACGAAAUCCAUAACUUUUUGUCAGCAUGGUCUGACGAUGAUUCACGUCAAAUUUGGUGAAAAUCGGACUAACGGUCUAGGAGGAGUUCGAAAAAGUAGGUUUUCAACAUUAAGCAAAAUGGCGGACAGGAAGUAAGGCCAAUUUUCACAUUAUUGGUAUCAAUACUCUCGGCAUGACCCACAGAAUAUAGCGAGACCAUUUUAAUUUUAAUAGACUAAUUUAUUCAAAAGUUAUUAGCAUUUAUGUGAUAUUUCAUUAUAACUAUUGGCCACAAGGUGGCGCUGCCACCAAACUUUUUGAGUACCUUCAGGGCAUGGAGCCGAAUAUUUUUGUAAUUAUUUGCGAAACGAUACGAUGCUGCGUUAAAAAAAUACAGCAUUUUAAAUCAUAAUUCAAAAUGGCCGACGCCUAAAAUGGCCGACACAGGAAAAUUGGAUAUCAUUUGACUCGACAUGACUCACUGAAUCUAAAGAGACCAGUUGUGUGAUUUUUGGACAAACCAUUCAGUAGUUAUAAGCCAAAAUAUGCAUUUUUCAUAUCUCCUGACCACUAGGUGGCGCUGUGUCGAAACACUGCAGGUAGUCUCAGUUCAUGCUUGUUAUAACACACGCCAAGUUUGGUCUCAAUAUGACAAACCGUUGCCGGGAUAUAGCCUCACGUGCAUGUUUGCGUGCUUUUCCUCAAAUUUGUUUACGUGUCAUUCGACAACAGUUGGACGAAUCAACUUGAAUUCCAUAACUUUUUGCCAGCAUGGUCUGAAGAUGAUCUGAGCCAAUUUUCGUGGCAAUCGGACUAACCGUCUAGGACGAGUUCGAAAAAGUAGGUUUUUCGAAUAAUUGAAAAUAGCGAAAAAACUAAACCUUGCGAUUUUUGAAUUUUAGGGUUCAUUCGACUUGGCCUGAGCCAAGGAUUCAGAGGAAAAAAGAAUUUCCAUUUUCUGGCUUACGGUUCAAAAGUUAUUAGCAUACAAACAUUGAAAGUUUGGACAAGUGGUGGCGCUAGAGAGUAGGAGUUAGAGGCUUCAAAUUUGCUAUAGUUAAUGUUGGGACUGUCCUCUAUCAGUGUGCCAAAUUAUACAACUUUCCCGCAAACGGUUCUAUGGGCUGCCAUAGACUUGCAGCGGAAGAAGAAGAAGAAGAAGAAGAAUAAAUAUAGCUGCAAGCAGCAAUUACGGGGCCAAGCACUCCAACGGCAAAUGUAGGAGCUAAGCAUGGCAUGAAGCAUCACACCAAAUACAUUAAUGAGCAAUAACAGUAAUUUUGGAAUUAUUGUAAUUGAAAUGGCAAAAAAAAAAUCAUAAUACCACCUCUAGUAGCAUGAUUACUUGGCUUAUAAAGUUUGACCAAUAGGUGGAACUGUUAUGAAAUCAAUUUGGUGUACUCUGUUUGACUUUUCAAUGACACACACAAAGUUUGGUGUUAAUAUGCCACAGCAUUCCAGAGAUGCAGCCUCAAGUGUCAUUUUGUCAUUGUGUUUCAACUUCGUCGCUUUGGUAUGCGAAAACGGUUUUGUCUAUCGACACAAAAUCCAUAACUUUGUGUCAACAUAGUCUGAAGAUCAUCUGAUUCGAAUUUGGUGAAAAUUGGACCUACGGUUCAUGAGGAGUUCGAAAAAGUAGGUUUUCCACAUAAAUCAAAAUGGUGGACCGGAACUUCAGUAAACACUGGCAUAUUUGGUAUCUAUGUUAUCGGCAUUAGCCAGGGAAUAUUUUGAGCCCAGUUUCGUUGCAAUAGGCUAAUGGACUAAAAAGUUAUUAGCAUUUUUAAAAGUGUAAAUAUUCAUUGUUAAUGAAUGGUUUAUUACUCUUGACCAAUAGGUGGCGCUGUUACCAAAUUUAUGUGGCAUUGUCAGUCUGAAGUGGCGAUGACACAUACAAAGUUUGGUGCAAAUAUGUCAAAGCGUUGCAGAGAUACAGCCUCAAAUGCAUUUUGGCACCUUUCCAGCAAAUUCGUUGAUGCGUUAAAUGACAACCGUUUCGUAUAUCGACACGAAAUCCAUAACUUUUUGCCAGCAUGGACUGACGAUGAUUCACGUCAAAUUUGGUGAAAAUCGGACUAACGGUCUAGGAGGAGUUCGAAAAAGUAGGUUUUCAACAUUAAGCAAAAUGGCGGACAGGAAGUAAAGCCAAUUUUCACAUUAUUGGUAUCAAUACUCUCGGCAUGACCCACAGAAUAUAGCGAGACCAUUUUAAUUUUAAUAGACUAAUUUAUUCAAAAGUUAUUAGCAUUUAUGUGAUAUUUCAUUAUAACUAUUGGCCACAAGGUGGCGCUGCCACCAAACUUUUUGAGUACCUUCAGGGCAUGGAGCCGAAUAUUUUUGUAAUUAUUUGCGAAACGAUACGAUGCUGCGUUCAAAAAAUACAGCAUUUUAAAUCAUAAUUCAAAAUGGCCGACGCCUAAAAUGGCCGACACAAGAAAACUGGAUAUCAUUUGACUCGACAUGACUCACUGAAUCUAAAGAGACCAGUUGUGUGAUUUUUGGCCAAACCAUUCAGUAGUUAUAAGCCAAAAUUUGCAUUUUUCAUAUCUCCUGACCACUAGGUGGCGCUGUGUCGAAACACUGCAGGUAGUCUCAGUUCAUGCUUGUUAUAACACACGCCAAGUUUGGUCUCAAUAUGACAAACCGUUGCCGGGAUAUAGCCUCACGUGCAUGUUUGCGUGCUUUUUGUCAAAUUUGUUUACGUGUCAUUCGACAACAGUUGGACGAAUCAACUUGAAUUCCAUAACUUUUUGCCAGCAUGGUCUGAAGAUGAUCUGAGCCAAUUUUCGUGGCAAUCAGACUAACCGUCUAGGACGAGUUCGAAAAAGUAGGUUUUUCGAAUAAUUGAAAAUAGCGAAAAAACUAAACCUUGCGAUUUUUGAAUUUUAGGGUUCAUUCGACUUGGCCUGAGCCAAGGAUUCAGAGGAAAAAAGAAUUUCCAUUUUCUGGCUUACGGUUCAAAAGUUAUUAGCAUACAAACAUUGAAAGUUUGGACAAGUGGUGGCGCUAGAGAGUAGGAGUUAGAGGCUUCAAAUUUGCUAUAGUUAAUGUUGGGACUGUCCUCUAUCAGUGUGCCAAAUUAUACAACUUUCCCGCAAACGGUUCUAUGGGCUGCCAUAGACUUGCGGCGGAAGAAGAAGAAGAAGAAGAAUAAUAAUAAAUAUAGCUGCAAGCAGCAAUAACGGGGCCAAGCACUACAGAAGCAAGCUUCAGACGAACGGCAGGAAUGAGUAAUUAAGACAGUUUUAAGAUUAUUUUAGGCAAAAUGGCUUGAAAACAAUCAACACAACAACUAGUAAUAGGAUUUAUUGGCUUAUCACGUGUAACCAAUAGGUGGUGCUGUUACCAAAUUAGUUUGGAACGGUCAGUGUGAGGUGUCGAUGACACAUACAAAGUUUGGUGCAAAUAUGUCAAAGCUUUGCAGAGAUACAGCCUCAAAUGCAUUUUGGCACCCUUCAAGCAGAUUUGUUGAUGCGCUAAAUGAGAACCG